AGAAGGAAGAAAAGGAUAAAGAUAAGCAGGGAUAAGAGAUAUGCAAAGAGGAGCUGAAAAAAAGAGAAGAGGAAGGACAGGCAGACGGAGGUUGUGCUUGAAUGCCUGUAGGAGUUACUGAGAAAGGACUCGUGCACAGCAGAAGCAGAGGAAGAUGCACGAUGGAUGCAUGUGCUGGGGGAGGGGGAGAGGCAGUGAAUACACACAGCAGGAGGGGGAGAGAGAUAGAUGGCAAACAUGCAUAUAGGAGUGGUGGGGAGGAAUAGUGGAUGUACACAGCAGGGAGAGAGCAAGUGAGAGAGACACAGCAGAUGCACACAGCGGGGGAGAGAAAUGCAUAGAACAGGGAGGGGGGAGCAGCGCAGGGGAAGUAUCAAGAAGCCUCAACAAAAUUAAACAAUAAAAUAAUAAGAAAUCAUAAAAUUCAUGAUUUGAACAUUUAUCAUUAUUUAACACAGGAAAUCAAGAGACUUUGAAGAGAAUUUACAUUAGUUAAAAAUUUUAAGCACUUCAAAUGUUAAUAGUGUUUGGUUUGGAAUAAGACUAUGCUUGAUUUAAUGAAUUCCUCUUUGCAUUUGCAGUGAAGCAGAUGUCUGCUUUCUGUGUCUGACAGGGACCCAAUCCAUUGCUUUUUGACAUCAAUAGGACUGUGGUGUUUUCAAGGGCGUCUGUUUAUCUUGUCAAUGUGGUCUAACCACCCUGCCUCACUUCCCCGCUCUGGUCUUGCACAGAUGCUUUAAAUUCCUGCAUGAUGUUCAAAAGGAAAAAUCCUUAGUCCAGGACCAUGAAGUCUGCAGACACUAUAGCCUCCUUUUCCUAUCAACAAGCAGAAGUAAUACUGAAUUCUCAAUGAAAGACUGGAGGGAAGAGACAGAGUGGAAGAGAACAGAAAGUAAAAUGGCAGGUGAAGUAUAUUCAUCUGCUAGAAGCUGCAAAAUGGGUCAGCCCAACUGGAAAGAAGUAAUGUACUGCUUUGUAUCUUAAAUUCAUUUUAAUUAUUAGGUUAAAAAAAUGAAGUAACAGACAUCGACCUUGAGCAUACAGUGGCCAGUUAAAACCUAUUGAAGAAACAACCCCCCGCUCCCCAAAACCUUGUAAUAUAAUCCAAUUAAUCAGUGAAGAAAAUCCCGACCAUGCAAAUUGCUUCAUUCCCCCUUGGAAAGUCAAGGGCCUUGCUGUGUGACGUAUUUCAUAAUCCAUCAAGCCACUGCUUUGUCUUCAGUGUCCUGCUUUGGCUGUACUAUGUUAUUAAUAGGAAAAUAAAAGAAAUAUUUUAUUGAAUUACAAUAAUCUGUUGAAAGAAAUUCUUCCUACCUGGCUAAUGGAUACCUACUUGGGUCCUCUCUUGAAAGAUACUCUUGAUAAUCUGGGCCAAAAAGAACAGUCCCACUGAAGUUCAUGGCUCCUAUGAUAUCCUGUGACAUUCAGCUCUUUAAACUAGAUUUGUGUAAUAAAAGUAAGUGUUUCUUUUCAGGAGGCUAAAAAUUCAUUACUACAUUAAAAAAAAAAAAAGCUUUUUGUGUGUGUGGUGAGAAAAAAUAGCCACUCGGAAUUACUCUUUACUGUGUCUGUUUGUUGAUUUAUUUACAUUAUUUUUACAUAAGGAAACCCUAACUUAAGAGGCUCCUUAUGAGCUGUGAGGUCUUGGGUAGAAAGAGGUAAAGCUGUAAUGUCCUGUGUUCUGUGCAGUUUGCUUUUUGCCAUUCUAUAUGCCUUCUGGUCAGGGCAGGUCAGUUUUCUAAUUGUAGGGUGAGAAGUCAUGAAUGCAGCAUAAGACA